UCAGUUGUCUUAUAAUUGAAGACUGGAAUGAAUGGUUAAACGAAAUUAGAGCUGUUUCAUUUGUAUUUAUUAGAAAUUGGCUUUUAAAUGAAGAGAUUUAAAUUUGAUUAAGGGACAAGAAGACCCUAUUGAGCUUUAAAUAAUUUUGAGGGUUAAAGUUAUUAUAAAGAUCUAUGAUCUUUAGUAUUUUUUUAGUUGGGGCGACUAAGGAACAGGAGAAGCUUCCUUUAUUUAUUUAAUUGAUAAAUUUUGAUCCUGUAUUACUGAUUAAGAGAGAUAGUUACCAUAGGGAUAACAGCAUAAUCUUCUUGGAGAGUUCUUAUUAAAAAGGGGGGUUGUGACCUCGAUGUUGGACUAAAAUAUCCUAAGGGUGUA
rnacentral:rRNA from 1 species